rnacentral:rRNA from 1 species
GACGAACGCUGGCGGCGUGCUUAACACAUGCAAGUCGAGCGGUAAGGCCCUUUCGGGGGUACACGAGCGGCGAACGGGUGAGUAACACGUGGGUGACCUGCCCUCAGCUCUGGGAUAAGCCUGGGGAAACCGGGUCUAAUACUGGAUAUGACUCCAUGACGCAUGUUGUGGGGUGGAAAGCCUUGUGCGGCUGAGGAUGGGCCCGCGGCCUAUCAGCUUGUUGGUGGGGUGANGGCCUACCAAGGCGACGACGGGUAGCCGGCCUGAGAGGGCGACCGGCACACUGGGACUGAGAC